CAAAAUUUGGUUUCUCUAGCUCUUAUAGUCUCUGAAAACUAGCCGACAAACAAGACGGACAGACAGACAUGGCUCUAUCGACUCGUCUAUUGAUGCUUAUCAAGAAUAUAUAUACUUUAUGGGGUCGGAAACGCUUCCUUCUGUGCGUUACAUACAACCUUUAUUCCCCAAAUACAAUAUAUCCUAUUUACUCUUCGAGUACCGGGUAUAAAAAUGGAAAAAUAAAUGCAUUGAAGCAGGACCCUCCUUUUGUUGGGAUUGGAGGCUCUUGUCGUAGCGGUGGAGGAGGGCAAUCAAUCCCGACAUCGUUGAGUAAACCUAUAUCUGAGGGAAAGAAACAUAAAGGGUC
rnacentral:lncRNA from 1 species